GGGCUCCGAGCCCAGCUCCACUGGCCCCGGCCGCGGGGCUCGCCCCUCCGUCCCCAAACGACCGUCUCCGCUGCCAUGAGAUGCCGACAGCCUGUGCGCUGGCCGCCACCCCCUGCUCCAUCAGGUGCUGGAAUCUGAGUAAAAGCCUGGGCGCGAGCUCCCAGCCCCGGGGCCUGCCACCGGCUCCACGAAGCGGGCAGCUCCAGCGGCCGCCGGGAGAAGGAAGGGCGACCGGGGGAGACGGGUCGCAGGGACAGCACGUGGCGGAAAGUUAGCCCCGGACUAGCACGCCCCACCCGGAGAAGCCGGCCUGGAAGGGGCUGCGGACCACCAGGCGGAGCGGUGGGCGACCGAAGUGCGGCUGGGCUGGCCUCCUCGUCUCCGCACUGGAAGAAUUGCCCUUCCGCAAGUCUUCCCUUCCCACAUGGGGGCCCUCCAGGCCGCACCUCGGUCGCCCACCGCUUCCCUUGAGAAGGGAGACUAAAGACAGGCAUCUGGAAGCUGUCACUGUGGCGCGCGGGCAGACAGGGGAUCCCAUUGGAGAGGAAGAGCCGUAGUAGUCGCUGCUGCCUUCGGCCGACCCAACGGCCGCCUGCUUGGGAGGAAGAAAAAGAACGCCCCCGCUGAAGAAUUAAGGCAGCCAUUGGUUGCUCUAGGGGUAAGGACCGAGGCCUCCCCUGGGUGUCACUGGAGCAGCCACACGUGGGGGAUCAGCCGACUUCAUUCGAUCGCUGGCGACAGACCCGGCGACCCGUAGGAAUGCGCGCUGGGGCUGCGGCUGGAGGGCGUGGCGACGGCAACAGGCGGGUGGCUCGAGUGGGUGCGACUCUGGGCGCGUGGGACUGAGAACUCCUCCGCCGUGGGGAAGAUUUUUUUCCCAGCAGAUGUUGGGGUGUUACUGCGUGUCUGAGGGGCCGGCGGAAUGGAGGGGUCCCGGUGCGUGCAGGGCAGCGAGGUGUGUCAGAUGAGCUGUGGAUCCCUGCGGCCCCACGUGGGCCGGAGAGGGGGGCCCACGACAACAAGCGAUUGAGGACAGCGAUGGACAGGGCGGGGAACCAGCUGGGUGGAAGCACAGGGAGUGUGGUGAGGAGGGAAGGGCUGUGAUCUGCCCUCGGUACGACGCCCCAAGGGACAGCCUGGCCUCCUGAAUUAGGGAAAAGACAACCGGUCUCUUUAGACGGGCGCCUCAGAGUCUGACCUGAGUCUUCAAACGCCCAGAUCCCCUGGGGCCUUGAGUCUCCCUGUCCCGCUGGCCCUGCCUCGCCUGCGCUUCAGGACUCCGACGCCCCCGCAGCCUUGGGCUAAGGGUCAGUCGUCCCCGGGCGCGGGUCCGGCUGCCCUGGAACUGAUGCUGGAUUUCGCUGGUAGGUGGGCUAGGGGCUUGGUCACCCCGUCUGAAUUCCACUGUCAGGACAGCUGUGGAACCGCCAGAGAAAAGUCUGGCCAUGAAAGAAAGGUGAGGGGCGCCGACGCAGAGCUUAUUUAUUCAGUCUGUGGGCGGACUCAGACGUGCAGAGCACCAACCUCUUCAAUUUCUGCCCUCUAGACUCCAAAUCUUUUGAAAUUAGGGACCACCAUUUUAUGCCAAACAUACAGUAGGCGCUCAAUAAGUGUUGAAUUAAGAUUACACAUAAAUGGGCCGGGCGCGGUGGCUCACGCCUGUAAUCCCAGCACCUUGGGAGGCUGAGGUGGGCCAACAUGGUGAAACCUUGGCUCUAAAAAAAUGCAAAAAUUAGCCAGGCAUGGUGGCGCUUGCCUGUAGUCCCAGCUACUAUAGAGGCUGAGGUGGGAGAGUCGCUUGAACUCUGGAGGCGGAGGUUGCAGUGAGCCGAGAUCGCGCCACUACACUCCAGUCUGGGUGACGCAGUGAGACCCUGUCUCAAAAAAUAUAUAAUAAUAAGAUUACACACAGAUGGGUGCUGUGCAAAGGGAGGGGGAAGACAAAUACUUUCUUCUGCAGCUCUGGUACAUGGACAUUUUGUCCUUUCUCCAUAAGGAGGAUCAGACAGCAGCAGCACUGCCCAUGGACCAGAGGCCUCAUGUAAGGCCUGGGAAAAGAGGGCUCCACACACCACCAACCGGAUGUAAGGGCAGUUGCAAAGGAACUGUGUUAUCUUGACCAGAACAGACUGUAGAAUUUGUUUAUCAAAUUUUUUUUUUUUACUUAUUUAUUUUGUGAAUGUAUAUGCUGUAAACUCAUCUGCUUAGAUUGUAAGAAUGUGAAUGCCCUACCUUGGUGGGUAGGUUAGUUUAUUCUAAUCAGCAAAACUUAACGUUACAUAUUCCAACAUCUCAUUUGGGAUGUGAAGAUGCUAUGGGGAGGGUGGGUAUCCUGGCAUUGCUAGAAUGUUGGAGCCUUAGCGAGAGAGUGGCAGAGUGGGGAGAACCUGGCACUUCAGCUACAGAUGAUCACUUAUGAGCUUUGUUAUAUCAAAUAAGUUAAACUUUCAUCUCAUUUUUUUUUUUUCUAUUGUAAAAUAGGGUAGUAACAGUGAGUCCUGGGGGAGGACGUGUUCUGUUAGCCAGAUCCACUCUCCAACCUGCUGUCUGUCCUUUGGAGCCUUAACUCAAGAGACUUUCUUUCCCUCUAGCUUCCAGUUGAGUGAAGGCACUAGGAAGCAACAGCGAUGGAACAAAGAGGAAGGAGUAUGGUUAUUUAUUCCCCCCUGGCUCCCUUACUAUGGCACCAUUGCAGGCUGGUUGCCUCCCUCAACCAAAGGAAGCAGCCAGUAUCCCUCCCUAGGGUGACCCAGAGUAAACCCCUAUGGUUUCCCUUCAUUUUGCACAUACCUUUGCAGAUAGUCUUUUUAUAAAACUCUACUCACAUUAUCCAGUAGGAAUGAACAUCUCAUUCCUUCACAGAAUUGUUUUGAGAGUUAACUGAGAAAAUACUGUAUUAUUAUUAUUAGAAUGACCUAUAAUUUCUGUCCAAACUGAGAAACUUUUGAGGCUGGGAAAAGGGGGUUUGUGCUGAUAGUAAUGAUGUCAGGACAAUAGGAAAAACAAGGACUUAUGGCCACCCCAGCUAUUAUUGCCAGUAAACUCUGCUUUAGACAUAUUAAGCAAUCAAGAAGUGGUCGUACUAUCACGCUUCUGUCACUAGACUAUGAAUGUCUCAAGGUAAGAGUGCUUUUUUGUCUAUUAGCUUCUGUCACAUGGUCUGGUAUAUUCAAUAAAUUUUGAGUUGGAGAUGAGGGUAAAGACUAGGAAAUGAAUAAUUUUUAUUGCCAUACUAAGGUAAUGAAGAGUCAAGGAGGUCUUUAAGCAAAGAAAAUUUGCAUUUUAGAAAACAGCUAUAGUGAAUAUUUGGCAUUGUUAGUAAUUUAGGGUCUAUUCCCUUUUUAAUUGAACCCCAAUUUAUUUGGAGAGCUUUUCCAAUGAAUGUUUCAACUUGGUAAAAAGUAAAUGCCUCUUAAAAAAGAGGUUCUGGGCCAGGCGUACUGGUUCAUGCCUUGUAAUCCCAGCACUUUGGGAGGCCAAGGCGGGCAGAUCACCUGAGGUCAAGAGUUCGAGACCAGCCUGGCCAACAUGGCGAAACCCCACCUCUACUAAAAAUACAAAAAUUAGUGGGAUGUGCUGGUGCAUGCCUGUAAUCCCAACUACUCGGGAGGCUGAGGCAGGAGAAUAGCUUGAACUCACAAGGUGGAGGUUGCAGUGAGCCGAGAUCGCACCAGUACACUUCAGCCUGGCUGACACAGCCAGACUCCAUCUCAAAACAAAACCAAAAAAAGAGGUUCCUCGCUGGCUGUGGUAGCAUGGUGUAGUCCCAGCUACUCAAGAGGCUGAGGCAGGAAGAUCACUUAAAGCCAGGAGUUUAAGGCUGUAGUGCGUUAUGAUUGAGCCUGUGAACAGCCACCGUACUCCAACCUGGGCAACAUAGCAAGAUCUCACGUCCAAAAAAAUUAAUUUAAUUUAUUUUCAAUAAGAGGCUCCUGAAGAGACGUUCCAUCACACCCUUCCUUUCAUCACCACAGUACAUACAUUCUUAAGAAAGUAUGUGAUCUAAGCUUGGCCAAUUAGAUGCUGUUACAUUUGAAUUUUGAAUCAAGAGACACAAAGACAAUACAAAUUGUUACAGUUUAUGCAGGCCAUAAAUUAUUUUUUACUUUUUGGCAAAUUGUUACAGUUUAUGGGGUCUACAAUUUAUUUUUUUAUUUUCUGGCUUAAGUUAUCUAGGAUUUGUUUCUGUGGUUUACAGUCAAAGAACCCAAAGACCAGAUCACUCUUGACUACCAUAAAAAUGAUUAAUUAUAAAGGGAUACAAGAAAAACAGGAGGCUGGGCACAGUGUCUCAUGGCUGUAAUCCCAGCACUUUGGGAGGCCAAGGUGGGUGGAUCACUUGAGGUCAGAAGUUCGAGACCAGCCUGGCCAACAUGGUGAAACCCCAUCUCUACUAAAAAUACAAAAGUUAGCCGGGCGUGAUGGUGGGCGCCUGUAAUCCCAGCUACUUGGGAGGCUGAAGCUUGAGAAUCACUUGAACCGGGGAGGCAGAGGUUACAGUGAGCCGAGAUCGCACCGCUGCACUCCAGCCUGGGCAAUAGAGCAAGACUGAGUCACAGAACAACAACAACAACAACAAACAAAAGCACACACACAAAACAGGUGAUAAGUUAGCUAUUGCCACUUUAAUUUUGGAUGGUUUAACUGACUGUCCUGAACUGACUGAUCCUGAACUCCUUCUGCAACACAAUAUGUAAAAAUGUUCAUUAAAACAUUGUAAAAUGCAUCUACAUUUGAGAGGAAAAAGUAAAACUCUCUAUUCACAGAUAACACAAAUAUACAGAAAAUCCUAAGGAAUCCACUAAAAAAUCAUUAGAAGUAAUAAAUGAACUCAGCAAGUUUACAAGAUACAGGAUCCACUGAGAUUCUGAUAAACAUGGAAGGCAAAAACAUUGAAACCGUCAUUUAUAAACUCACAUAGGCUCCAGUGAUUAUCUCUUCUUUUCUUUGUUAAAAAAAUGCAUUUAAAAAUCAUUCUAGAAAAUUGUUAGGCAAUGUUAAAUUUACCAAUAACUCUGACUCUUCUUUGCCCCUACCACUUUUUAUUAUCUUUGAAAAUCAAGACAAUAUUUGCCCUUCUUCAAUCUUUUAUCAUUUCUUAUUUUUCUCUGGCUUCUGGAAAGUGAGUAAUUACCUUUACGAUCACUUAUGAAAUCUCUUGCAUGGAUAAUUCAUUUAGGCCUAGAAACUCAUUUAAAGCAAUCGAUUGCUUGCUUACCAUGCUGGAUUUUAGUAGCCUUUAAAUCAUGUUUAUUCUACCUUUUUUCAUUAAAACAUUAGUCUCUUUGGGAGAGGAGACAAAUAAAUUAAAACUUGAGUUUUACCUUUUCUUUGUCAUCUGAUAGCAUUAUGUCAUCAGCACGAAGCAGUAGCUUCCAUCCUUUCUUGUUCACCCUCUUGUGGCAAGUAUUACUUGAAAAACAAAAAAAUAAAUUUAAAAAAAGUCUUUGUAUUCUUUUUAAAGGCAAAAAUUAUCUAAGCCUGCAGGGACAUUUCCAUUCUUAUAGGCUAUGGUACUCUUUAAAGCACGCUGUUUAAAAAAUCUGAUUGCAAUAAGUAUGUCCUGUGAAGUGACAUGCUCCUUAGAGUAAGAUGACUUGGCUUGCUGGCCACUCUGUUUGGCAGCCAGCCCUGGAGCUGGGUCAGUUUCCCCUGGCUCUGGCAUCACUCCUUCUCAGAUAAUUCCUUUCUCCCUGUGGCCAGUCAUUGUGGUGACAGUUAUUAUUCUUUUUCAUGAGCCUAGAAAAUUUAUGUGGUGGAUGUCCCUCUGAAUACUAGAUACUGCCACUGAAUUAGAAGAGAAUCAUAUGCACUUGUAUAUUCUGACAGCCAUGUCACUUACACCUUCUCACCUUUUGUCUCGUCCUAUUUGCUAUCUACCAUUCUACCACUGUCCAUUUCUACCAGCUGAAUAACUCUCUGAUGCAGGGGUUACUCUGCACCCUCAUCUCCCUUACUGUAGACUUGUUCCUUUUGAAUGAGAUAAAAUUUCCUUGACUUAUAAUAUUUCAGUCAUAAUUUCCUUGCUACCUCAUGUACCGAUACCUAUUGGAUUAUGUUCAUUUUGUUAAUUUUCCCAAGUUCAAUUUGCUUUACCACUAAUUCUCUCUUUCCAGGCUGAGAUUUCAAAAGUCAUCAGCAUUAUAUUUCACCUUACUUCUGUCUGUUUUAUUGAGUCCCAUCUGAAUCAGCAGAAGUGGCUGUAGGUUGGCUGGUAUCAUGAAUUUUGGCAGAUUAUGCUUCAUGAGUCAUCAUUCCACACUUUAGGAAGAUAACGAACUAGCCGUUGCAAGACUGCCUUCCUACUCAUCAGCAGAGAAAACAUGGACUUGGAAGCCAGGACACUUGCGUUCGUGUUCCUACACUGUCAAACAUCAUGAGCUAUGCAAAAUUUUUAAGUUGAUGUAUUUGGAUAUAGGCGAAGCUGCUGUAAUGGGAAUAUCCCAAGAGUCAUUGGUUAAAGAAAAAUAGAUGGUUUUUUGUUUGUUUGUUUUUGAGACAGUCUUGCUCUGUCACCCAGGCUGGAGUGCAGUGGUGCGAUCUCAGCUCAUUGUAAACUCCACCUCCUGGGUUCAAGUGAUUCUCCUGCCCCGGUCUCCCAAAUAGCUGGGACUACAGGUGCAAGCCACCAUGCACGGCUAAUUUUUGUGUAUUUCUAGUAGAGAUGAGAUUUCACCAUGUUGGCCAGACUGGUCUCAAACUCCUGACCUCAGGUGAUCUACCUGCCUCGGCCUCCCAAAAUGCUGGGAUUACAGAUGUGGGCCACCGCACCCAGCCUAGAUGUUUAUUUCCGAUUGUUACCUUAUCUACUCUGAUCAAAACAGUCUCACCAGCACCAUAUCCACAUUCUAGCCCAUGGAAAGGGUAAAGAAAAGAAAGUGGAAGAUAUUAGUUUCCAUUUAAGGAAGUGACAUGGAAAUAAUAUAAGUCACCUGUGUUCACAUUCCACUGGCAAAAAUUCAGUCACAGGAAUGUACUUAGCUGCAGAGGAGGCUAGGAUAUGCCCUCCAAAAACUCAGGGGGGAUGUCCUACUUGUAAAAGGAAGAAAUGAAAAAUGGACACUGAGAGGAAAUCAGCAGUCUCAGAGGUAAUAUACUUACACAGUUUUUUAAAAAACAUAAAAUGAUGCAGAAUGAAGUUUCCACUCUAUUCACCAUCUAUCCAGUCCUCAUGCCUCCCAACAAGAGGUAAAUACUUUAUUAUUGUGUCAUGUAUCUUUCCAGAGUUUUUCUAAGCAAUUUGCAACAGAUAUAAAUAUGUAUCCUUAUUUCCUACCUUACCCCAUAUUGUACAUGAAAGAAAAAAUAUACUAUGUAUAACAUUCUGUAUCUUUUUUUCACUUAAUAUAUUUUGCAGUUCCUUUUAUAUAGAUACAUAGUUACCUUCUUCAUUCAUUUAUACAGCUGCCUACUGUUUCUAAGGCUAUAUCACUGAUAAAGUCUCAUGGAUACACUCAAGGUUUUUUCAGUCUUUUAUCAUGAUAAACCAUGCCGCAAUAAUAACCUUGUACUAGUCAUUUUUAACAUGUGAAAGUAUAUCUGCAAGAUACAUUUCCAGAAAUGGGAUUAGCCAAUCAUAUGAUAUUAAGCCAACCUUUUGAUCUCUUUGAGCUGCAUUUGUUAACUAAUAAAUUAAGCUCAUAUUUACCUCAUAGGAUCAUUAUUAUAAUGAAAUAACCAUAUAAACAAUUAUUGUACAACAAUAUCAAAAACAAAAUAGAGAUAAGUUUAUCAAAAUAUGUGUAAGAUCUGUACUCUAAAAACCUAUAAAACUGUGUUGAGAGAAAUUAAAGGAAGCCUAAAGUAAUGGAGAAAUAUACCAUGAUCAUGGAUUGAAAGACUCAAUAUUGUUAAUAUGUAAUUCUCCCUAAAUUGAUCUACAGAUUCAAUAUAAUCCCAAUUGAAAUCCAAGCAAGCUUUUUUUAAAAAUAGAAAUUAACAAUCUGAUUGUAAAAUGUAUGUGAAAACACAAAAGACCUAUGCUAGCUAGCCAAAACAAUUUUGAAAAAGAACAAAGUUGGAUAACUUACACUGUGCAAUUUCAAUACUUAACUAAAAAGCUACAAUAAUCAAGACAUGGAAUCGGCCAACAUACAAUCAUAUAGUCCAGUGGGAGAGCAUAUGGAAAGUCUACAUAUAGACACAUAUGGUCAAUUGAUUGUUGGCACAAGUGCCAAGAUAAUUCUAUGGGAAAGGACAAUCUUUUCAACUAAUCAUACUGGGACUAUUGGAUAUCCAUAUAGAAGAAAAGAACCUCAAACCUUAUUUCACCUAUACACAAGAUUGAAUCCAAUGGAUCAUAAACCUAAGUGUAAACAGUAAAGCUUUGUUUAGAAGAAAACAAAGAAAAACUCUUCAUGACUGUGGGUUAGGCAACAGUUUUGUAGAGGAGACACAGAAAGCACUAACCAACUGGAUAUUAUCAAACUUCAAAUUUUUGCUCCUCAAAAUACACCACUAAGAAACUAAAAAGGUAAGCCACAGACUGGGGAAAAAUACCUACACUAUUUGCAAAAAAUAAUAAUGACAAAAUAUGUGAACAUACACAUAAUAAAAGAAGAUACAUGUUUGGCCAAAUGCAUGUGAAAUGGUGGUCAACAUCAUUAGUCAUCAGAGAAAUGCAAAUUAAAGUACAAUUGUAUGCCUCCUAGUAGAAUGGUGAAAAUUAGAAAGACUGAUGAUUCCAGUUGUUCGGGAAGAUGUGGAGUACUGGAACUCUGAUGCCUUGUUGCUGUCUUUGUUUAGUGUUGGUAUAACAGAAUACCUGAGGCUGGAUAUUUUACUUUAAAAAAGAGGUUUAUUGGGCUUAUGAUUGUGGUGACUAGAAGAGUCAAGAUUGGGCAGCUGCAUCUGAUGAAGGCCUCAUGUUGCUUCAACUCAUGACAGAAAGCAGAAAGAGAGAGUGUGUGUAAAGAUCACAUUGUGAGAGAGGAUGCAAGAGAGAGAAGCCAAGGAAGCCAAACUCAUUUUUAACAACUUGCUAUCAUGGGAACUAAUUCAUUCUCUCAGAGCAAGAACUACUCACCUCUGUAGGAGGGCAUUCAUCUAUUCUUGAGGGAUCCAUCUCCCUCACCCAAACACCUUCCACUAGCCUACCUCCCAACACCACCACACUGGGGAUAAAAUUUCAAUAUGCAUUCCAGUAGGGACAGACCACAUCCAAACCAUUGCAGUUGGUGAAAAUGCAAAAUGUACAAGCACUUUGGAAAACAGAUUGGCAGUUUCUUAUGUAGUUAAACAUAUAUUUACCAUAUGACUCUACAUUUACACUAAAAAAUAGUUACACGACAGAAAUAAUGAGUCCACAAAAAAGCAUUCAUAGCAGCUUUAUGCAUAGCAGCCAAAAAAUGAAACAGCCCAAGAGUUCAACAACAGGUUAACUGACAAACAAAUUGUGGUACCUAUAUUUACAUAAUAGAACCCUGCUUUGGUAUAAAAUAAACCAUGGAUACAUGCAAAAUGUAGAUAAAUCUCAAAUACAUUAUUCUGAGUGAAAGACGUCAGACCCCAAAAUUACAAAUGGUAUGAUUCAACAUAUAUGAAAUUCUAAAAACACAAAACUGUAGUUACAGAAAGCAAAACAAUGGUGGCUUGGGGUAUCAGAUGAGGAGGAUGGACUUGAAAAGAGCACAGGAUGGACUUUUGGAGUGAUAAAAAUCUGUAUCAUGGUUAUAGUGAUGAUUAGAUGAGUGAAUGAAUUUGUCAAAAUUCAUUUGUCUGUACACUUAAAAUGGGUAUGGUUGUAUACAGGUUAAACAUCAAUAAAAAAAUCUUAAAUUGCUGUACUAAUAUUGUUUUUGUGAUAUCAAAACCUGUAAGAGUGGACCUCUUUCUCUACAAGUUAUCACAUGCCAUCAAACUUUUGCUUAGAUUUGUUGAAUGCUUUUCUGUCUCAGGCACCAUGCAAAGUAUUUUGUAUGCAUCUCUCAUUUAAUCAUCACAGCAAUCCUCUGGCAUUUCUCCAUUUCUUGAUGAGGAUACUAAAGCACAGAGACAAUAAGAAUAUUAUCCACUUUGGG
rnacentral:lncRNA from 1 species